rnacentral:rRNA from 1 species
AGAGUUUGAUCAUGGCUCAGAUUGAACGCUGGCGGAAUGCUUUACACAUGCAAGUCGAGCGGCAGCGCGGGGCAACCUGGCGGCGAGCGGCGAACGGGUGAGUAAUGCAUCGGAACAUGUCCAUACGUGGGGGAUAGCCCGGCGAAAGCCGGAUUAAUACCGCAUACGCCCGAGAGGGGAAAGUGGGGGACCGCAAGGCCUCACGCGGAUGGGUUGGCCGAUGUCCGAUUAGCUAGUUGGCGGGGUAAGAGCCCACCAAGGCGAUGAUCGGUAGCUGGUCUGAGAGGAUGAUCAGCCACACUGGGACUGAGACACGGCCCAGACUCCUACGGGAGGCAGCAGUGGGGAAUUUUGGACAAUGGGGGCAACCCUGAUCCAGCCAUUCCGCGUGAGUGAAGAAGGCCUUCGGGUUGUAAAGCUCUUUUGUCCGGAACGAAACGGUUACGGUGAAUACCCGUGACUACUGACGGAACCCGGAAGAAUAAGCACCGGCUAACUACAUGCCAGCAGCCGCGGUA